CGUAUUAACCCCUCGUUUCAUGUGUCUCUCCUCAGGCCGGUGGUGGCUGGUCCCCUACAAGAAGAUGAGGUGCCGGAGGUCCCUCCACCCCCCUGGACAUCGGGGGUCCCCGGCGUACAGCUGAAGCCCGGUCGCUGUGUCCUGCUCAAGGGGACCUACAUGUGUGCCGAGUACUGUUACAAAGAUGGCCAGUGCCCCGAGGAACAGAAGUGUUUCCGGAUAUGUUGAUUCUACGCCUGCAGUGAGCCAUUGAAGCUUUAUUGGAAAUUCUUAUUAGUUAUAAGAAAUAACUAGAAAAUUCAAAUUAUUACAUGUACAAUUAUGUCUAUGAAAACUGAUGACUUUAUGCAAUAAUAAAUAUGAAAAAUAAUCAUAGCUUUUAUGGAAACUGGACAAACUUCAUGGACGUUCUGUGAAUUGACAAACUCACGUGGAUUGCUGAAUUUGAAUAAAAC
rnacentral:lncRNA from 1 species